rnacentral:rRNA from 1 species
AGUAAUGGCAGGUCAGCAUACUGCCGUGAAUACGUUCCCGGGCCUUGUACACACCGCCCGUCACACCAUGAGAGUUGGGAAUACCCGAAGCCUGUGAGCUAACUUAUAGAGGCAGCAGUCGAAGGUAGAAUCAAUGAUUGGGGUGAAGUCGUAACAAGGUAUC